rnacentral:rRNA from 1 species
UACAGAGACUGCAAGCGUUAUUCGGAUUCACUGGGCGUAAAGGGUGCGCAGGCGGUUGGGUGUGUCAGAUGUGAAAUCCCGAGGCUCAACCUCGGAACUGCGUCUGAAACUACUCGACUAGAGUACUGGAGAGGGUAACGGAAUUCACGGUGUAGCAGUGAAAUGCGUAGAUAUCGUGAGGAACACCAGAGGCGAAGGCGGUUACCUGGACAGUUACUGACGCUCAGACACGACAGCAUGGGGAGCGAACGGG